UACAGAGGGUGCAAGCGUUAUCCGGAAUGAUUGGGCGUAAAGAGCUCGUAGGCGGCCUGUUGCGUCCGCUGUGAAAGCCCGGGGCUUAACCCCGGGUCUGCAGUGGAUACGGGCAGGCUAGAGGUAGGUAGGGGAGAAUGGAAUUCCCGGUGUAGCGGUGAAAUGCGCAGAUAUCGGGAGGAACACCGGUGGCGAAGGCGGUUCUCUGGGCCUUACCUGACGCUGAGACGCGAAAGCGUGGGGAGCAAACAGG
rnacentral:rRNA from 1 species